rnacentral:rRNA from 1 species
UACAUAUGAUGCAAGCGUUAUCCGGAAUGAUUGGGCGUAAAGCGUCUGUAGGUGGUUUAAAAAGUCAAUUGUCAAAGACUAAGGCUUAACCUUAGAUAGGCAGUUGAAACUUUUAGACUAGAGUAUGGCAGAGGUAGAGGGAAUUACUGGUGUAACGGUGAAAUGUGCAGAUAUCAGUAAGAACACCAAUGGCGAAAGCACUCUACUGGACCAAAACUGACACUCAGAGACGAAAGCUAAGGGAGCGAAUAGG